GCCAUUGUUCACUUUUGAUAUAGAAAGGGUGGAAAAUGGCAUUGUAGUCUUUGCAUGGAAGUGAUAUGUCUGCAGUCUGUGUUCUUUGUGCAAAGUUCCUUGCACACAGCAAGGCAACACAAAUAUAAUUCAUCCCAAGCAUGCCUACCAUGUUUUGUUCAAAAUCAGAUCAAUGCCUACCAUGCAAAUUCUCCUUCAAGGGCACCUGACAUAAGAAAAUCUGCUUGAUUUAAGUGGACAUUACCAACCCUGAGAAGCCACUCUGAAGAUAUAAAGAUCCCUCUGAUACCAUCAAGUCUGUCUGAAUGCGAACCAAGAGCAGGGAUGGAAAAGAAGCCUCUGGGGAGCCGCUGAGCUUUCAGUGAAGCCUGGCACACUUGCUUGUGCAGAAGUCCUGUGAGUGAUGGAGACACAGCCCUUAACUCUUAUUUAUCACUGCGAGAGUCUUGUACCACCAAAUAUUAAUAUGAGAAGGUGACAUGCAAUCCGUUGUGUUUGCAAAAUGGAGGCAGAGAAAUACUUCAAGGGUGGCAAAAAAUGCUGAGUAGGAAUGAAAUUCUCUUAUCAAAAUCCUUCUAGCCCAUCUAGAUUUUGGGUAGCAAAAUAGCUUUGAACAUCUCUUAAAGCCACGAGUUCCCUAUCAGUGGAAAUGCACGUAUUCGUAUAAAUCUUUCUUGUAUUUCUUAGAUAAGAUGAGCAUAACCUGGAGAUACUCCCAGAGAAAAUAGGCAGCUACCUAUUUUAUUGGAGACUGGCAAAGAAGAGGGGAAAAUGAACACAGAUGAAUGUGGUACAUGUGCCCAGAUGCAAGGUCUAUUUCCUUUAAAAUAUUCCUAGUUGUGCAGACUGCAGAAGGUAUGCUGAUGACCUCAUAAAGCCAACUGUUUAAACAUUCCAAUCCCCACAAUCUACACCUUCUACCUGACCCAUCCCCUGCACCCAAGAAGUUUGCUGGGAUGAGGGGUUGGACACACUUGGAAUAACAGUAGAUAUUUGGCAUUGAGCCCUCCUAGGACAUGAUUGGCAAGGGAUGAGCAGAGAAAAAGACAGCCAUCUUUGGACGUUUCACAAAGUCCCAAGAACCUCCUUAAAUAACAUUCUACUGUCAUCUUCUAAGCCAUUUGAUUGAUAGGACUGUCAGGGAGGUUCUGUAUCCAUCAAAGAAUGAAAGCCCCCACCAGGUGCCUGGAGGCACAUACAGGGAUGAAGACCUACUCUGCAUAGACAUCUAUUAACAGAGGGCUGGGCAUCUGUGGACCUACCACGGAGCUUGGGUACCUGCUUCUGGAACCAACACAGUUGCCAGACAUGGAAUGAAGACAGAGCACUAAGCAUUAUAUGAUUAGUCCCUCAAUGAAUGUUUAAAGAAUUCAUGUAUGAAUGACUAUGUGACAUCUUUCAAGAUGAUGGUUUGGAUGGACAAAUGUUUUAAUCCAGCCAUACAACAUCCAUGGACCAAAUGGGGAACUUGGAAAGAUCCUCAUUUUCUGUCUUACUUCUCCCUCUGUAGCUAAUAUGAUUAAAGAUACACAGGCCUGUAAUUCUGUUUUUGUAAAAAUAUAAUUCAGUUUUUCUCACAUCCCAAUGGGUGGGGAAAGUUUCAGAAAAGGGCACAUGUUAUGUUAAUCCAGGGAAGAAAAUAUUGAAGUAGUACGUACUCCUCUCUAGGUACUUUAAGUUUACCCAGUUAUUCUCAAGUCAUUUCAGGAGACAUUACUGAGGGGAGAAAAAUGGAAUUUUGGCAUCCCAAUGUUUUCUUCUGUUUCAGGAUUUUUCUCAUUGUAGAAUGAAAUGGAUGCUCUUUUUCAUUUUUUCCCUACCCUGAUAUUUACUUUCACAUUUGUAUACCACCCCAAGUCUUUCAUUCUCCCUGCCUAACUUCAGACCCUCCUCCAACCCUCCAGUGACCCACACUUCAGACUCUCAGUGGCCCAUUCAGGGCACAG